AAGAGGGGAACGGGGAUAAGUCGCUGGCUGUCUUACCUCUACUGUGAUAUAUUGUAGAUGCCGCUAUGUGUAGUGUUUUUGCAUCCACUCUGUGGCUUUAGUCUGUAGAAUAUGCUGAAAGCUCUUGGUGUUGUGCCGUGUCAAUAAGCUGCUGUGUGCAUAUGGCGGGUUAGGGCUGCGUGGAGCUUUGCCGCAGCCUGCAAUCUCGCCGCGUUGUGUUUGUUUCCUCUACCUGCUGUGUCAAAUGGAUGGUGUGUGGAGGAUGGGGUCGUGCUUGUAAUGUUAGCAGGGUUCGAGGUGGAGUGCAUGUAAUCCUUUUUCGAUGUGUAUGGUAUCUAAUAAACUG
rnacentral:lncRNA from 1 species